CCGGGUGUAUAUCAAAUUCGACUUUAAAUUUCUCAAAAGUGGCACCUAACUGGAUUCAGUGACUAAUAUGGUUAAAAAAAUGGAAGUUUGAAGUACCCAUAUCCACAAUAAAACUUGUUACUGACCGCGAUUUGAAGACUCGACAGCCUCUGAAAUUUGAUACAAUUUGGUUAUUUUGUUUAGCUUCAAUUAUAGCAGAGUUGAGACGUCAGAGCUUCCAGUCACUUGUAAAAUGCGCUCUUGUUCCGUUUUUUUACACAAGCCUUUAAAUCAUCGUAGUUAAGCGAUUUUUCUGUGUUCAUG